AGUUUUUGCAAUUAUAAAAGAGAUAUAGAGAUGAGAAUGUUACAAGUCUGCAGUUCUAAUUUUAUAGCUAGUCUUGUCCAUAACAGACUUACAGAUUUGUUACAUUUUCUUCUUUAUGUCUCUUUUAAAAAUUGCAGGCG
rnacentral:pre_miRNA from 1 species